AUAUAUGCAUAUACGUUAGAGGGAAAAAGAGUACAUAUAUGUGG
rnacentral:sRNA from 1 species